rnacentral:rRNA from 1 species
UACGGAGGAGGCAAGCGUUAUCCGGAAUUAUUGGGCGUAAAGCGUCCGCAGGUGGCACUUCAAGUCUGUCGUCAAAGACUGGGGCUUAACCCUGGAAAGGCGGUGGAAACUGAAGCGCUAGAGUGCGGUAGGGGUAGAGGGAAUUCCCGGUGUAGCGGUGAAAUGCGUAGAGAUCGGGAAGAACAUCGGUGGCGAAAGCGGCAUCCUGGACCAAUAUUGACGCUGAGGAGCGAAAGCCAGGGGAGCAAACGGG